AGAGAGAGAAAAGAGAUUGUGUCACAUGUAUGUGCGUGCCUACAGAAGCCAGAAGAGGGCAUCAGAUCCCUGUAACUGGGGCUAGAGAUGGUUAUGAGCUGACGGAUGUGGAUGUUGGGAAUCAAACCCAGGUCCUCGGGAAAACUGAUGAGAGCUAACUGAUGAGUCGUCUCUACACCCUGAUUUCUCCCUCCUUUUCUUCCUUCCCUCCUCCCUCCCUUCUUUCCAAUAUACACCAUUUUACAUUCAAAUCUUGAUCCCUCUGGUAUUUAUUUGGGAGCUGUGAAGCAGUGGGGAUAGGGAAUGCUUCAUUUAUUAAGAACAUAAGUCAUUAAAGGCAUUUUUGAAGAUUUUCUUGUCUCAUACUGCUUUGCAUAGACAUUUUUAAAUGUCCUGAUCUUUUGAUUGUAUAUUAUAGUUCCCAAUCUUGGAUUUUAAUGGGUUGGAUAAGUGGGGAGGUAGCCAUGAUCAGAAUAUAUUGUAUGAAAAAAAUUAUUUUAAAUUUGAAAAAAAAACAGAGUUAAUCUGGCUGGGCCUGCCAAUCACCUGGCCGGAUCAUCCCUCAAGAAAGAUGAUUCACUAAAACCGUGCUGAGGAAAUGGGAGGAAUAAUUAUCUCCUUAGUGCCAUGAUGUGCUUUCCCUCCCAGGAGCCCCUCCCCAGGGCAGACGCUUAAAUAGCUUUCGUUUCAUAACAGCGCGGUCUGCCAGCUUUUCUGAGUUACCCAAAGCAUACCUUUGCCUUUCCUUACUAUCUUUUUCCUUCAUGCCCUGGCCAAUAAUGCUAAGUACAUUUUCUCUCCUCGGCACUGUGGGCUUUCUCACUCUUUCUCUGUAGCUCCAGGUAUGCAGCUCUUUUCUGACCUCUGUCAAGGAGGCUUUCUCUCUUCCUCCUCUCCACCUCCUUCAUCAGGCAGUUGCUGAGAGGACCAGUUAGCCUAGCCUCAUGUUUGUCUCUUAACCUCAAACAAACUACUCUCAAACAUUCAAAGAAAAAAGAAAAGUGAGUCAUAUCUGUCAGGAGUGACCCACCCGGUCCCUAGUCCUGAGUCCAUCCUGUGAUCUCGGAGCCUUGGUGUCUGAUGGGAAGGCUGCUCUUGCUCUUUCUCUCUCCAUCCUUGUAGGGCUGAGACACAAGCUGGAAGUGUGUGCGGCUGGUGUGAGGACCACUGCUCCUUCUUCCUGCACCCAGACAAUAACUCCUUAUUGAGCCACAAAUCGACAGAAACCUGUCUCAAACUGGAGAAGGUCAAAGGUUCACCCUAUUGAUGGCAAAUCAAUAGUGCCACUCUCAGAAGAACUUGGAAUGAGUGCGCAUCAGAUAUCCAGACAGGAAGGCAGCAAUGAAGUUAUUCUUGCCACCAAGGGACAAACACAUGUUACUUUCUGUUUUAGAGUUCACAAAUGGAGCCCAUUAAAUUCUUACAGCAACUGCCCCCCUUCUCUCUCCCUCCCUCCUUCCCUCCUUCCUCCCUUCCUUCCUCCUCCCUCCCCCCUCCUCCCGCUCUCCAGGUUCAGGAGGCUGAGUGAGCUAAAGAGAGGAUCUGCCUAGCAUCUCGGUGUCACCAGCUCCUAAAGUAUGUACCUUGAUGAGCUCAUGGAUUCUUUGGGAUGGUGACUGUCAUAUGCCAACCUGACCAACCUCUGAUGCCCACCAACUGGUCAGAUGUCAAAGCAGAUGCUGUUGCAAAGAUUCAUCAAAUGGUUGAUUUUAGAACUACAGAGAUGGCAAAGCGCCCUGGCUUGUGUUCCCUUUCUUCAUUUCACUGAGGGAGUGCAUGUGAUAGAAUAUUAUUUAAGUGGGUCUCUCUGCCACUUGGCCUGGAACCAGCACCCUGAUUUGGCUGGGUUUGCUGGCCAGCAGGUCCUGCAGGUCCCCUGCUCAGUCGACACCCACUGCAGCUGUCCUCCCAUUGCUCCAAAUCCGUUAGAGCUCCAUCUUAGACAAUGAAGGGUUUUGACAUGCAAGAGGCAAAAAUGUAAAAGCCCAUAUGUGCCUGCUGGAGACGUUGUGAAGGAAGCUAGCAACAUUGCCAAGGCUCAUAAAUGCCCACCUGAAAUUUCUCCCGGAGGCCAGUGUGAAAUCCUGCAGCCACGCUCUCCGUCUGCACCUUCAGCCUUUGAGAUCUGCUCCGACCCUUCCCAGUGAAACCUCAAGCCUGUUUCAAGCUGAAAACUUGCUCAUCUCUCAUUCCAUCUUUCUCCUCUCUUGUACCAAUAAACGGACAAUUCCCUGCUUUCUACCCAAUGUAUAUGUCAGCUGCUAUCCUUGGAGAGGUGGAUGCCAGGAGAUGAGACAUGUAAGAGAGGUGAUGGGUGAGGUGCCUAUAGACAGAAGUUUCUGUCCCUCCUGGUCCCACAGUCAUUCCAUC